GACGAACGCUGGCGGCGUGCCUAAUACAUGCAAGUCGAACGCUUCUUUCCUCCCGAGUGCUUGCACUCAAUUGGAAAGAGCAGUGGCGGACGGGUGAGUAACACGUGGGUAACCUACCCAUCAGAGGGGGAUAACACUUGGAAACAGGUGCUAAUACCGCAUAACAGUUUAUGCCGCAUGGCAUAAGAGUGAAAGGCGCUUUCGGGUGUCGCUGAUGGAUGGACCCGCGGUGCAUUAGCUAGUUGGUGAGGUAACGGCUCACCAAGGCCACGAUGCAUAGCCGACCUGAGAGGGUGAUCGGCCACACUGGGACUGAGACACGGCCCAGACUCCUACGGGAGGCAGCAGUAGGGAAUCUUCGGCAAUGGACGAAAGUCUGACCGAGCAACGCCGCGUGAGUGAAGAAGGUUUUCGGAUCGUAAAACUCUGUUGUUAGAGAAGAACAAGGACGUUAGUAACUGAACGUCCCCUGGCGGUAUCUAACCAGAAAGCCACGGCUAACUACGUG
rnacentral:rRNA from 1 species